rnacentral:lncRNA from 1 species
GCUGGAUUGUAUGUUAGAACAAACGGGACUAUUUUGCUGCGCCUCUUCCGUUUGUACUGUAAGAGGUCAUUGCGGCUGUUAUUGUUAGCGCGCAAACCCCUUAUCUAUGUCCAAUUUCUUAUAACCUCGUUUUGUCAAAAAUCCGCGAAGUUCCUGUAACCGUUUCGUGACAGCCUCCUCAGAGGAGCAAAUCCGCUUGACUCUGAGAGCUUGACUGUAC